GGCCGUAUGGCGAAAUGGCAUCGCGUCUGACUACGAUGUAGCUUGCUUUGCAGACACAAAUCAAGAGAUUGCAGGUUCGACCCCUGUCUCGGUCA